CCCUUAGAUGUUCUGGGCCGCACGCGCGCUACACUGAUGCAUUCAACGAGUCUACAACCUUGGCUGAGAGGCCUGGGUAAUCUUUUGAACGUGCAUCGUGAUGGGGAUAGAUUAUUGCAAUUAUUAAUCUUCAACGAGGAAUUCCUAGUAAACGCAAGUCAUCAGCUUGCAUUGAUUACGUCCCUGCCCUUUGUACACACCGCCCGUCGCACCUACCGAUUGAGUUUUCCGGUGAGGUAUUCGGACCUUGGAUCUUGACGGCUCUGCCUGAUGUUUUCGAGGGAAGUUUCCCAAAUCUUAAAACUUAGAGGAAGGUGAAGUCGUANCA
rnacentral:rRNA from 1 species